rnacentral:rRNA from 1 species
AAAAAAAAAAAAUCAUCUGCAAGAGUGAACUAGCUAACUGAAAUCUCAAUAUGCUAUGCUGACGGGCAUAGGAGCUUAAUUCAAGAAUUUGUUUUAAGACUUUACUCCAGAUAAGGUUAGGGAUAAUAAUGAUAUUACCUUUCUAUUAGUGUUGUCAAAAAUUGGUGCCAGAAGACUCGGUAAGGCCGAGAACGCAAACGUUAAUCAUCUUAAACAGGCGUAAAGGGUUUGUAGGCGGCUUUAAAAACUUCAACCAAAGAAAAAAUACAAUGUAUAUUUACAGUACCAAAUAAUUACGAAUCGCUUUAAAUUCUAUAAUUGUAUAAUUAACUAAAAGGCCUAUUAUAAAAAAAUUAAUUUUUUUUAUUAAGCCUUUUUAAUCUCUUAGUUUUGGAAUAGGAGUAUCUUAAAGUAUUUAAAAAGGUGAAGUAUAUAUUAAAGCUAGAAUCAGGUAGAGGUUAUAUUAUAAAAUGCUUAAAGUAAGGGUUUUAUCUUUAGAGAUUAGGUAGAAUACUAAUAGCGAAAGCUUUUUUUCCAAUACAGAUUAAUGACGCUGAGAAACGAAGGUGAGAAAAGGAAACAGGAUUUGAUACCCCAGUACCCUCUCUGUCAACGAUGAAUGGUAUAAUAUUAAGUAAGUUUUUAUACCUAUAUUUAGUAUUAAAGUUAACACAUUAACCAUUCCGCCUUGUGAGUACGAUCCCAAGAUUGAAAACAAAAAAAUUAGUCAGUUUUGGAGCAAACGA